CAGCCGCCACGGUAAUACGAAGGGUGCAAGCGUUACUCGGAAUUACUGGGCGUAAAGCGUGCGUAGGUGGUGGUUUAAGUCCGUUGUGAAAGCCCUGGGCUCAACCUGGGAACUGCAUCCAAAACUGGUGAGCUAGAGUACGGUAGAGGGUAGUGGAAUUUCCUGUGUAGCGGUGAAAUGCGUAGAUAUAGGAAGGAACACCAGUGGCGAAGGCGACUACCUGGACUGAUACUGACACUGAGGUGCGAAAGCGUGGGGAGCAAACAGGAUUAGAUACCCCUGUAGUCCCUGUCUCUUAUAA
rnacentral:rRNA from 1 species